rnacentral:lncRNA from 1 species
ACCCAAUCCAAUUAGGUUUCAAACUUGAUUAAAUUAGAAUUUAAUCGAGCCUAAUUUUUGAUUAAAUCAAAAAUCAAUCACCCUUAGAAAAUAGGUCAUUUUGAUCAAAUCCAAUUCAAUCAGCCUUGAACCAAAUGUCAUUGCUCAAUCAAAUUGAGCCAAUCAGUGAUCUAAUUGCUUAUCAAUUUUUUUUAAUUCACUAACCCUUAGCAAAUUAAUUCAUUACAAUUUUUGCAUCAAGUUAACCAGCA